rnacentral:lncRNA from 1 species
AUGACUUCUCCUUUGGUACCUGUGUUCUGUACUCCUGGUUUGAAAAUCCCUUCCAGGACAGAUAGUACAGUGUUACCCAAGUCACAAGAGAUAAACAAACUGCUUCUUCCUAAACAUACAGAAACGCCACCACCUCCAGAUUUUGAAACAAGAUGGCUCAAGGUAAAGCCAGGGGAAAAAGUUGGGUCAGUGACAGAAAGUGAUGCAAAAGAAAACCAAACCAUAGAAGAUAGCAUUCCUCCUACUGUGAGCUCCGAUGAGUAUCUUAAGCGUUUGGGAGACCCUUCUCCUCCUAAAAUAAAACAGUACGACCAUUUGCUCAGUACUCCUCCACCUCCAGAAAUAACAAGGAUACCAGAUGAUGUUCUACAGAUUCUGUCAAAGUAUAAUCAUAAAGUAGUAGACUCUUCUAAAGACAAGAAAAUGGAGACUAAGGCAGGAGGCACUACAAGAUUUGAAAGUGAUUCCACUGAUUACUGCAACAAAGAGAACAGGAUAUAAAACGUGUCAGCUAACAGAGCAUUCGCUCUCUAAUCCUAUUUGUUGUCAGAGGAGUGUCUCAAAUUGUUCUGCCUUGGAAGCCCCUAAAAGUG